UACGUAGGGUGCGAGCGUUGUCCGGAAUUAUUGGGCGUAAAGAGCUUGUAGGCGGUUCGUUGCGUCGGAAGUGAAAACUCAGGGCUUAACCCUGAGCCUGCUUUCGAUACGGGCGGACUUGAGGGAUGUAGGGGAGAACGGAAUUCCUGGUGGAGCGGUGGAAUGCGCAGAUAUCAGGAGGAACACCAGUGGCGAAGGCGGUUCUCUGGACAUUUCCUGACGCUGAGAAGCGAAAGCGUGGGGAGCAAACAGG
rnacentral:rRNA from 1 species